rnacentral:rRNA from 1 species
CUGUCGGCGUGCUUAACACAUGCAAGUCGAACGGAAAGGCCCUGCUUUUGUGGGGUGCUCGAGUGGCGAACGGGUGAGUAACACGUGAGUAACCUGCCCUUGACUUUGGGAUAACUUCAGGAAACUGGGGCUAAUACCGGAUAGGAGCUCCUGCUGCAUGGUGGGGGUUGGAAAGUUUCGGCGGUUGGGGAUGGACUCGCGGCUUAUCAGCUUGUUGGUGGGGUAGUGGCUUACCAAGGCUUUGACGGGUAGCCGGCCUGAGAGGGUGACCGGCCACAUUGGGACUGAGAUACGGCCCAGACUCCUACGGGAGGCAGCAGUGGGGAAUAUUGCACAAUGGGCGGAAGCCUGAUGCAGCAACGCCGCGUGCGGGAUGACGGCCUUCGGGUUGUAAACCGCUUUCGCCUGUGACGAAGCGUGAGUGACGGUAAUGGGUAAAGAAGCACCGGCUAACUACGUGCCAGCAGCCGCGGUGAUACGUAGGGUGCGAGCGUUGUCCGGAUUUAUUGGGCGUAAAGGGCUCGUAGGUGGUUGAUCGCGUCGGAAGUGUAAUCUUGGGGCUUAACCCUGAGCGUGCUUUCGAUACGGGUUGACUUGAGGAAGGUAGGGGAGAAUGGAAUUCCUGGUGGAGCGGUGGAAUGCGCAGAUAUCAGGAGGAACACCAGUGGCGAAGGCGGUUCUCUGGGCCUUUCCUGACGCUGAGGAGCGAAAGCGUGGGGAGCGAACAGGCUUAGAUACCCUGGUAGUCCACGCUGUAAACGGUGGGUACUAGGUGUGGGGUCCAUUCCACGGGUUCCGUGCCGUAGCUAACGCUUUAAGUACCCCGCCUGGGGAGUACGGCCGCAAGGCUAAAACUCAAAGGAAUUGACGGGGCCCCGCACAAGCGGCGGAGCAUGCGGAUUAAUUCGAUGCAACGCGUAGAACCUUACCUGGGUUUGACAUGGAUCGGGAGUGCUCAGAGAUGGGUGUGCCUCUUUUGGGGUCGGUUCACAGGUGGUGCAUGGCUGUCGUCAGCUCGUGUCGUGAGAUGUUGGGUUAAGUCCCGCAACGAGCGCAACCCUUGUUCACUGUUGCCAGCACGUUAUGGUGGGGACUCAGUGGAGACCGCCGGGGUCAACUCGGAGGAAGGUGGGGAUGACGUCAAGUCAUCAUGCCCCUUAUGUCCAGGGCUUCACGCAUGCUACAAUGGCUGGUACAGAGAGUGGCGAGCCUGUGAGGGUGAGCGAAUCUCGGAAAGCCGGUCUCAGUUCGGAUUGGGGUCUGCAACUCGACCUCAUGAAGUCGGAGUCGCUAGUAAUCGCAGAUCAGCAACGCUGCGGUGAAUACGUUCCCGGGGCUUGUACACACCGCCCGUCAAGUCAUGAAAGUUGGUAACACCCGAAGCCGGUGGCCUAACCGUUGUGGGGGAGCCGUCGAAGGUGGGACUGGUGAUU